GACGAACGCUGGCGGCGUGCUUAACGCAUGCAAGUCGAACGGAAAGGCCUCAGCUUGCUGGGGUACUCGAGUGGCGAACGGGUGAGUAACACGUGGGUGAUCUGCCUUGCACUCUGGGAUAAGCUUGGGAAACUGGGUCUAAUACCGGAUAUGAACUGCCUUUAGUGUGGUGGUUGGAAAGUUUUUUCGGUGCAAGAUGAGCUCGCGGCCUAUCAGCUUGUUGGUGGGGUAAUGGCCUACCAAGGCGUCGACGGGUAGCCGGCCUGAGAGGGUGUACGGCCACAUUGGGACUGAGAUACGGCCCAGACUCCUACGGGAGGCAGCAGUGGGGAAUAUUGCACAAUGGGCGGAAGCCUGAUGCAGCGACGCCGCGUGGGGGAUGACGGCCUUCGGGUUGUAAACUCCUUUCGACAGGGACGAAGCUUUUUGUGACGGUACCUGUAUAAGAAGCACCGGCUAACUACGUG
rnacentral:rRNA from 1 species